rnacentral:rRNA from 1 species
GACGAACGCUGGCGGCGUGCUUAACACAUGCAAGUCGAACGGAAAGGCCCUGCUUGCCGGGUACUCGAGUGGCGAACGGGUGAGUAACACGUGGGUGAUCUGCCCUGCACUUCGGGAUAAGCCUGGGAAACUGGGUCUAAUACCGGAUAGGAGCCAUUUUUAGUGUGAUGGUUGGAAAGUUUUUUCGGUGUAGGAUGAGCUCGCGGCCUAUCAGCUUGUUGGUGGGGUAAUGGCCUACCAAGGCGGCGACGGGUAGCCGGCCUGGGAGGGUGGACGGCCACAUUGGGACUGAGAUACGGCCCAGACUCCUACGGGGGGCAGCAGUGGGGAAUAUUGCACAAUGGGCGCAAGCCGGAUGCAGCGACGCCGCGUGGGGGAUGACGGCCUUCGGGUUGUAAACUCCUUUCGCUAGGGACGAAGCUUUUUGUGACGGUACCUAGAUAAGAAGCACCGGCUAACUACGUG